AUGUCAGGGUGCCACGCCGGGCCACGGCUCCUCUGCAGAACAGACACUCUGCUUGGAAUCCCGCGUGUGUGCCACGCGCCCGCCCCAUCACCCCAGCUUCCUUUCUCCUCCUCAGGCCGCUGCCAGGGUCCCUCACAGGCCCCGCAGGGAUGCCGGAGGUCAGGUGAGGGACAAAGGCUUCUCCUGCCGGCCUCCCUUCCCUCCCUCCCGGGAGCCUCCGCAGCGGCAGCGGCGGCGGCGGGCCUGCUCAGGGCCCGAGAGCCCAGCCCAGCCCUCCUCCGGCGCGCCGGCCUCUCCGCUGUUCCCCGCGCGCUGCCAGCCCCCGCCGCGGCCUCCGGGGAGCAGCGGGAAGCCAGGCUGAGCCUCUCUUCCUCCCCGGCCGUGCGGGCACAGCGGGCACAGCCGGGGAGGGGAGCCGGAGGGGCACACAAGGCAGCGCUCCCGGGGCUCCCCUCGGCGCUCAGCCGGCCGCGCGCCCCCUCUGCCCUCCGGCCCUGGGCGGGCUCGUCGCGGGCUUACCUGCCGGGUCAGGGGGCCCAGGGCUGCUGGGCCGGCCGCCGUGGGAAGCGGGGCGCCCCGGACGGAGCGCUGGAGCCGGCCAGCCCACGUCAGGUGAGGCCGCCUCCCAUCCCUGCUCGCGCCGGCCCGGCCCGGGAAGGGGGAAGGCCUGGCCCCCGCCCCGCCCCGCCCCGCCCCCUCCCACGCCCAGAGAGAGCAGUGGGCGGCUGCCUAGCGGAGCAACGUCGUUCGCUGCCGCCGCCGCAGCCGCCCGCUCGCCAUCCUCCCUCCCAGGGGCUGGGCUCGGAGCGAGCGCGUCAUCCCCGAGCCCGGCCCCCCUCCCUCCUCCUGGCUCCGCAGGGGCCCCGAGGUGCUGAGCCCGAGGAGGCCUCCCGGAGGGGCCCGCAGUUGUUCCCGGGGGCAAAGGGGCUGAAGGCCGUCCUCACGGGCGCUUCAGAAAGGCCUGGCUCCCUUAGAUGGCUUCUUGGCCCACCAACAGAUUGCUCGCCUUGGAGUUGGUCGGCCUUGAAUUCAAAUCCUGCCACAGUCCUUUCCGGCUCUGUGCCCCUGUGCCAAAUGGGAAGACUCAAAAAAGUCCCCUCCGGGCCACACAGGGGAGGGCUGCAGAGAAGACAGCAGAGGCGGCGCUCCCCCUGCUGGCGGCGCAGGGAAUUGGUCCUCUGCGGGAUCCCAGUGGUCCCAGUGCCCGGGCGACCCCCACUCCCACCCCACCCCACCCCAGCCAUCCUUCUGCGGAGCCUCUUUGUGGUCAGAAGCGGUGGAGAGGAAGAAGCGCCGCGCCCACAGCCAUCAUGGGGGCCCUGGGGAAAGGGCGGGUGGCCAUCCCCCUGGAGCUGGGGGCAGGGGCAGGGCCUGGAGAAAGGAAGAUGGGGCAAGGCAGGCUUUGGGCUGCAAGGGGCAGAGGCUGCUCCUAGAAGAAAAACAGAACCCCAGGCUCGGGGCAGCUAG
rnacentral:lncRNA from 1 species